rnacentral:rRNA from 1 species
GGCCCUAAUACAUGCAGUCGAGCGGACAGAAGGGAGCUUGCUCCCGGAUGUUAGCGGCGGACGGGUGAGUAACACGUGGGUAACCUGCCUGUAAGACUGGGAUAACUCCGGGAAACCGGAGCUAAUACCGGAUAGUUCCUUGAACCGCAUGGUUCAAGGAUGAAAGACGGUUUCGGCUGUCACUUACAGAUGGACCCGCGGCGCAUUAGCUAGUUGGUGAGGUAACGGCUCACCAAGGCGACGAUGCGUAGCCGACCUGAGAGGGUGAUCGGCCACACUGGGACUGAGACACGGCCCAGACUCCUACGGGAGGCAGCAGUAGGGAAUCUUCCGCAAUGGACGAAAGUCUGACGGAGCAACGCCGCGUGAGUGAUGAAGGUUUUCGGAUCGUAAAGCUCUGUUGUUAGGGAAGAACAAGUGCAAGAGUAACUGCUUGCACCUUGACGGUACCUAACCAGAAAGCCACGGCUAACUACGUGCCAGCAGCCGCGGUAAUACGUAGGUGGCAAGCGUUGUCCGGAAUUUUGGGCGUAAAGGGCUCGCAGGCGGUUUCUUAAGUCUGAUGUGAAAGCCCCCGGCUCAACCGGGGAGGGUCAUUGGAAACUGGGAAACUUGAGUGCAGAAGAGGAGAGUGGAAUUCCACGUGUAGCGGUGAAAUGCGUAGAGAUGUGGAGGAACACCAGUGGCGAAGGCGACUCUCUGGUCUGUAACUGACGCUGAGGAGCGAAAGCGUGGGGAGCGAACAGGAUUAGAUACCCUGGUAGUCCACGCCGUAAACGAUGAGUGCUAAGUGUUAGGGGGUUUCCGCCCCUUAGUGCUGCAGCUAACGCAUUAAGCACUCCGCCUGGGGAGUACGGUCGCAAGACUGAAACUCAAAGGAAUUGACGGGGGCCCGCACAAGCGGUGGAGCAUGUGGUUUAAUUCGAAGCAACGCGAAGAACCUUACCAGGUCUUGACAUCCUCUGACAACCCUAGAGAUAGGGCUUUCCCUUCGGGGACAGAGUGACAGGUGGUGCAUGGUUGUCGUCAGCUCGUGUCGUGAGAUGUUGGGUUAAGUCCCGCAACGAGCGCAACCUU